ensembl:lncRNA
AGGCUUUAAGACCAAGCGGAGUCCUCCAUCAGCUGCUCCCGCUUCACAGCGCGCGGGACUCGCGCUAACUGACCCAGCUUCAAAGUCUGCAAGUUUUGAUUUAACUAAAUCAAUUUGAGCGAAUACAACUUACUGAUCAUGAGCCCAACAUUUAGCAAGGCAGGAAAACAUUCAGUCUACCUGAAGGAAGACAUGUGUUUGACCAAGAUGGCGGCGCGUACACAUCGCGAGGCUCAGCGUCUCUCCAGUUUUUGCAAUUUUGCAGUAUUUUUCCUGCUCAUCUCGGGUCUGUUCGUACUGAACAGCUUUGCUUUAA